rnacentral:hammerhead_ribozyme from 1 species
AUCCAGCUGACGAGUCCCAAAUAGGACGAAAUGCGCUUUAUUCUAGAU